rnacentral:misc_RNA from 1 species
AAGUCGUAACAAGGUUUCCGUAGGUGAACCUGCGGAAGGAUCAUUGAUGAACAAAUUUGGUGCAAGGGAACUUCGUGGUCCCUUCGCACACAAUAACCUGUGCACUUGCCAGUGUUUGGUUACCUCAGGGUACCAUCCUUCUUUCGGGGAAUGACACGUUGAUUUAUUGCGGGUGUGUGUGGAGCGUUAGUUGAUAACACUGCACCUACAACUGCUUUAGAUCUAGUUCCCCAGAAGGAUUUACCCAGACGGGGUGGCCGAUCUUUUAGUAACCAUGUAUUCAAACAAUGCCUGAUCUUUAUCUGUACCUUCAUUGGAACAGAGAAAAUGUUUAAAGUAAAAUACAACUUUCAACAAUGGAUCUCUUGGCUCUC